AGACCCGAAACCCGGUGAUCUAGCCAUGGGCAGGUUGAAGGUUGGGUAACACUAACUGGAGGACCGAACCGACUAAUGUUGAAAAAUUAGCGGAUGACCUGUGGCUGGGGGUGAAAGGCCAAUCAAACCGGGAGAUAGCUGGUUCUCCCCGAAAGCUAUUUAGGUAGCGCCUCGUGAAUUCAUCUCCGGGGGUAGAGCACUGUUUCGGCUAGGGGGCCAUCCCGGCUUACCAACCCGAUGCAAACUGCGAAUACCGGAGAAUGUUAUCACGGGAGACACACGGCGGGUGCUAACGUCCGUCGUGAAGAGGGAAACAACCCAGACCGCCAGCUAAGGUCCCAAAGUCAUGGUUAAGUGGGAAACGAUGUGGGAAGGCCCAGACAGCCAGGAUGUUGGCUUAGAAGCAGCCAUCAUUUAAAGAAAGCGUAAUAGCUCACUGGUCGAGUCGGCCUGCGCGGAAGAUGUAACGGGGCUAAACCAUGCACCGAAGCUGCGGCAGCGACACUAUGUGUUGUUGGGUAGGGGAGCGUUCUGUAAGCCUGUGAAGGUGGCCUGUGAGGGUUGCUGGAGGUAUCAGAAGUGCGAAUGCUGACAUAAGUAACGAUAAAGCGGGUGAAAAGCCCGCUCGCCGGAAGACCAAGGGUUCCUGUCCAACGUUAAUCGGGGCAGGGUGAGUCGACCCCUAAGGCGAGGCCGAAAGGCGUAGUCGAUGGGAAACGGGUUAAUAUUCCCGUACUUGGUGUUACUGCGAAGGGGGGACGGAGAAGGCUAUGUUGGCCGGGCGACGGUUGUCCCGGUUUAAGCGUGUAGGCUGGUUUUCCAGGCAAAUCCGGAAAAUCAAGGCUGAGGCGUGAUGACGAGGCACUACGGUGCUGAAGCAACAAAUGCCCUGCUUCCAGGAAAAGCCUCUAAGCAUCAGGUAACACGAAAUCGUACCCCAAACCGACACAGGUGGUCAGGUAGAGAAUACCAAGGCGCUUGAGAGAACUCGGGUGAAGGAACUAGGCAAAAUGGUGCCGUAACUUCGGGAGAAGGCACGCUGACAUGUAGGUGAAGUGAUUUACUCAUGGAGCUGAAGUCAGUCGAAGAUACCAGCUGGCUGCAACUGUUUAUUAAAAACACAGCACUGUGCAAACACGAAAGUGGACGUAUACGGUGUGACGCCUGCCCGGUGCCGGAAGGUUAAUUGAUGGGGUCAGCGCAAGCGAAGCUCCUGAUCGAAGCCCCGGUAAACGGCGGCCGUAACUAUAACGGUCCUAAGGUAGCGAAAUUCCUUGUCGGGUAAGUUCCGACCUGCACGAAUGGCGUAAUGAUGGCCAGGCUGUCUCCACCCGAGACUCAGUGAAAUUGAACUCGCUGUGAAGAUGCAGUGUACCCGCGGCAAGACGGAAAGACCCCGUGAACCUUUACUAUAGCUUGACACUGAACAUUGAGCCUUGAUGUGUAGGAUAGGUGGGAGGCUUUGAAGUGUGGACGCCAGUCUGCAUGGAGCCGACCUUGAAAUACCACCCUUUAAUGUUUGAUGUUCUAACGUGGACCCGUAAUCCGGGUUGCGGACAGUGUCUGGUGGGUAGUUUGACUGGGGCGGUCUCCUCCUAAAGAGUAACGGAGGAGCACGAAGGUUGGCUAAUCCUGGUCGGACAUCAGGAGGUUAGUGCAAUGGCAUAAGCCAGCUUGACUGCGAGCGUGACGGCGCGAGCAGGUGCGAAAGCAGGUCAUAGUGAUCCGGUGGUUCUGAAUGGAAGGGCCAUCGCUCAACGGAUAAAAGGUACUCCGGGGAUAACAGGCUGAUACCGCCCAAGAGUUCAUAUCGACGGCGGUGUUUGGCACCUCGAUGUCGGCUCAUCACAUCCUGGGGCUGAAGUAGGUCCCAAGGGUAUGGCUGUUCGCCAUUUAAAGUGGUACGCGAGCUGGGUUUAGAACGUCGUGAGACAGUUCGGUCCCUAUCUGCCGUGGGCGCUGGAGAACUGAGGGGGGCUGCUCCUAGUACGAGAGGACCGGAGUGGACGCAUCACUGGUGUUCGGGUUGUCAUGCCAAUGGCACUGCCCGGUAGCUAAAUGCGGAAGAGAUAAGUGCUGAAAGCAUCUAAGCACGAAACUUGCCCCGA
rnacentral:rRNA from 1 species